UCUGUUCUCACUAAAUCUGCCAGACUCCAUAUAAGUACGAGUGUAAACUGGAAGCUUGAGCUUUUUAUUGAGUACAGACAGCGUUAAUUAAUGAAAUAUAAGCAUUAAAUUCGGUGUGACAAAUGUAAGAGACAAUUUUUUUCGAGACGAUUAAAUCCAAUUCAUAAAUUGACCUCUCAUUUAGUAUUGCGAACAAUUUUGAGCAAAGUUCAGCAUAUUUGUAGCCACUGUGACUAACUGGGUCUAUACUAUAUAUGCAGUCCAAUACCGAUAUUCGUGUCUCCGUAUGAUAUCGCCAAUAUUUAUUAUCGCUUUGUUAAAUAAUUUGUCUAUCUUCAGUUUCUGGUUCCGUUGUAUUAAUAGUAACAAAUUGAUUAAUAACUUCAUUUAGAGUUAAAUAUAGAUUAUCAUGAUUUUAUUAUUAGCAACACUGUGAUAGUUAAAUAACAGAAAUGCGUAAACGGUGAUGAAGCACAAUCAUUGAGUAUUAAACUACCAUUAUUUAUUAUGAUAAUUUUUUAUAACUGCAGAAUAUAUAGCUAUUAUUGCUAUUAAUCCUACGAGUAGACUACUAAGGAAUUAGUUAUGGGAACGAAGUAAACUCAGUAAACAGUAUCAAACCUCGAAGUAUACUAAAUAAAUUUGUUGAGUAACGAUUUGUAAAAAUAUAUAGGAGUAGUUAGUAUGUUUUAGGAUACCUUUGAAACAUUACACAUAGCCAUCGGUUUAAAGAAUAACAUAUUUUUAGAAAAUUUAAUUCUAUUACUCGAUAUAGAUGAUAUCCCGAUUAUAGUGAUCUUCAACCUUUUCAAUAUAAUUUUUGUAAUAUAAUUUAUCUUAUCUUCUGUAUCCAUUUUCUGUAGGUCUGAUAACAAAAAACAAGCUUGUUUAUUCUUCUUAAAACCGAUCCACUUCACAUUAGCUCUUCCUUCAAACCAUCCAAUAACACUAUAUAAUAUAGUAAUCGUCAUCGACGGUUUUGUACUUUUCAGUACAGUCCAUGAAAAUUAAUUAUUAAAUACAUGCGCCUGAUACAGAAAAACAACAUUAUUUCAAGGGAGAAUGUAAUAAAAUAACUUGAAUGGACGCACAUUAUGUAGUAACUAGACAAUAUUGUCUCUUUACUAUAUCAGGGUUUUCCAACAAAACCUUCGACUGUUUUUGAUAAUAGACCUUAGGCUAGGAGGAAUACACUUAGACUAUAAAGACAUUCCCUAUUUCGACAAUAAGACUCGACAAUGCGCAGUGAACCUACUAUAAAUCUGCAUAGGUUGUUUACUUGACAUCUCAUCAAUAUUACAUUUGCUGGGAUUCCGCUGUGGCCAGACACCCAAACUAGUGUAAAUCUAACUGGCAACGACUGAAAGUGAGGAUAGACGUCGCUUUGCUACCAGUGUGAGUCGUCACUUUUCGAAGCAAAAGAUCCUUUAUAGCCUCCGCUUGCGCUUUAAAAACACAAUUGAAGACUCAUAAAUAUCAUUCUCUUCUCAGCCGAACAAAUAUCUUCUUGCGCUUGCCAGGCGUUCGCUUGUUCUGAGCAUCAUUCGAUGUAGCGUCAACACCGUUAGAUGACGUAGUAGUAGCCACAACGCAAACGAGUCAGUAAUCGGUUGUUGAUAGGAUACUAUAUUGCCGCGGUCAAUUGUGUCCACACAAGGGUAACCACAUUGGCGCUCCAAAUGAGAAGACAGCAUUCACUCAAUUGAUAUACAUAUAUAUACAAAAAUAUGUAUAUAUAUUUAUAUUGAACACUGGUGGUACAAAAUUUUUUAAUAAUAGUAUUCGACUCAAUUGAUUUAAAUGCAAAAAUCUGCUUCUAUUUUUGGCAAUAAUAAUGAAUUUCAUAAUUUAUUAUAAUUUGAGGUUAAGCACAAGUUUAUACGAUGAAGCGAACAAAAUAAUUAAUUUAAAAUAUUCACAAAAAUAAUUCCAUUUUUUUAUAGAUAUUACAAAAGUAUAAAGAUAACCAAUUUCCAGUUCUUUUAUUCUAAUAUUCGAAUUGAAAAUAUAUAACAUUGUCAUUAUAUAUGUAUUUUAAUUUAUUAUACAAUAAUUAUGUUUUACAUAAUGCUGUUAAAUCAUUUUUUUAAUAUCCACCUUCAAACUCAUCCACGGGAAACGGGUUUCUUUUCACAUUAAAAUUGCACUGAUAGAUUUCCAUAAAGAAAAUCACAAGUUGAAUGUUAUUUCACGGUUUCGUAGAGUUCUAGAACACUUUCUACCGGGUUUGAUGUGCUUUGCUAUAUACCCACUAGCAUAGCAGUUCUAUACUGAGUAAAGUACUCAUAAACAAAUGAAAGCAAAAGCCAGUCACCGUAUCCAUAACAUUUCUAUAUACAUACAUAUGUAAAUAUUUGUAUGCAUGUGCUUAUUAUGUAUAUAUGCCCCAUUAAAUAAGCGCUUUGAUUCGCGUAUUGCUGUGAAAUGUUAACAACUCCUAUUUUCCAACAAAUAUUUACGCUACUCAGCUACCGUAUUUAUUCUAAAUGUGAGCAAAAUACGUGAACACCCGCCACCCAACAUGUCCACCAUCUGGUACACUUUAGCUCAAGCACAUUUUUAUUAAUGUAUGGGGGAGUGUGGGCGUUUCGUUAAGAAUGCGUAGCUUUGCUACAUUUCAUAAUGGAGUCUAACUAUUUUUUUGUUUACGCCAAAUUGUAAAGUGAGGUUAGGGCAGCUCGAUAUUUGUUGUUUAUAUAAUUGUGUUUGUUCUUUUUUCAUACUUAUAAGUCAUUAAUGUGCGCAAUUUGCUGGCGAAUAUAUAAAUAAAUACAAAUACUCAUAGUGAAAUUCUGUUGAACCGUGUGUUACUCACACCAGCGACGACCUUGCAAGGCAGCAGUUGUAUACAUACGUGUGCAUAGCAUUAGUGUGCCGGCAUAUUUAUUCAAAAUAUAUUUUUUUUUGUAUAUUAUUGCUGUGAUUGUUUGUCAACGGAUUGUUCUUGUGAUUGUUUGUAAACGGAAAAUUUGUCAACUAGCGGUUUACUGUUUUUGCUUUCAUUAUCUAAUUUCAUUUGCGUCUCAACGUGUGGUCACAGUUACUAAUUUAGAUGGAAAAGUUCCUUUGCUUUUGUUUUGAUUGUGGAAAUUUACUAAAUAAAUACAAAUAUAAAAAACACAGUAGCUGUAACAAUUAGCAAAAAAAUUAGGCUCAGCAAAUUUUUCAAUCAAAUGAUUAUUGUUCUAAAUCAUUCACAACAUUAAUAUGGAUUUCUAAUUAGAUUAGAAACUUUUAAUAACUUCAACCUAGUAACAAAUCAUCAAGCUCAUUGUACUCCCAAGUGAGCUCCAACUAAACAGAAAACUACAUCUGGUGGAUUUCAUUAAAUUCCUUAACUUUUUCAACACCAGUUUUUUUUAUAUUUGAACAUUGGGAGCCGUGAAGGAUACCCAAUCUCAACCACCACUCUGAAAGUGAGACCUCAGAGAUAAAUUUCCUUUGUUAACCCCUACCAUGUUGCUUAAUAUCCUCUCCCCUUUCCUCACUAUCUUGAAGUGUUCUUCUAAUAUCCGUAAUACAAAAAAAAUGGGAAUAGAAGAGUUUCUUGUC